GCCUGGGUGGCUCAGUCGGUUAAGCGUCUGACUCCGGCUCAGGUCAUGAUCUCGCAGGUCUGUGAGUUUGAGCCCCGUCUCAGGCU
rnacentral:tRNA from 1 species